GAUGUCGUAGGUCCCUUGGUAAUAUAGAAGUUUUGAAAAUUAAGCAUCAGCAUAGAGAAAUGGGAGGACAAUAGUGGAAGAGCUUCAUCCCAGGAGACAAGGAAUAAAUAUUGUAUCUUCGCCUAAUAAGGAGCCAAGUAGUCUUUCAACAUUUUUUAUGAUAUUUUGUGGACAUUUCUUUUUAGUCGUUUGUGUUUUCUUUGCAAGAUCACUUCUAGUUCCUCGCAUUAUUCUUUACUGUUAUUUGAAGACACGGCAAACCAUCGAAAUUACAUUUUUGGGAUUUUCAACAGAAAUCAUCAAGGAGAGGGGCCGUCAAAUCCUCAUCACAUCUUUAUGUGCUUUGAUUCUCACAAAAUUGAAAACUUUUACUGCUAAAGGAGACUGCAAAAAAGACAUCUAUAGACUUUGAAAUAUUAGUGCAGACUUCAGCCACCAGAGUGCAUCUUGAUGUAUGUGUGUUUUAAGGACCCUCAGGCAACCACCCUCAGGGAUAGGAUUACCUUCAGCAUUCUAUCAGUAGAAAAUGGAUUCCAAUAUUAAAUGUAUUAGGUGAAAGGUUACUCUUACAUGCUUGCUUUUAUGUACAGUAAGGUUGAUUGGGUAAUUCCUUUGUAAGCUUUUAAAUGAAAGCUGUUGUUUAUGGAUAUGCACUAAUCAGAGGAGACCGAGACGUCUUUCAAGAGCUCUUUAACAGAAAAAUAAAUUUCAUUCUUUUCACCUUCAGCCAGAAGAAAGAAACAUGAAAGACAAUGCUUUCAAAAUGAAAUGCUACUUAGGAUUCUCAGAGAGAAAAAGAGUUGUCCUAAAGCAUUUUUCAUACUGCUCUUUAUGUUUACUAGAUAAAUCAGGUUAUGUUACAAAUAAAAGGGGUAAGAUUUUGAUGUAUUGUCCUUAGUUUGAUAGUUUAGCUUGCAUGACAUGACCUGAAGGUGAUGCUUUUGAAUUAAGCCUUCAAAAUGUGCAUGUUUUUAUUACUAUAAAUGGAAGUUAGAUGCUUACUGAUGAAAUGUGAAAUUAUAUAAUAAUAGACUAAUAAUCAGAUUUAGAAGACAAUUUUAUUAUAUUAUUUUAUAGCUGCUGUUAAGAACAAAAGACAUCAGAACCAUUUUGGUCUUAGUCAACAAUAAAGGUUAGCCAUCAUUUCUGAAGUUCA